UUGAACGCUGGCGGCAGGCCUAACACAUGCAAGUCGAACGGUAACAGGAAGCAGCUUGCUGCUUUGCUGACGAGUGGCGGACGGGUGAGUAAUGUCUGGGAAACUGCCCGAUGGAGGGGGAUAACUACUGGAAACGGUAGCUAAUACCGCAUAACGUCGCAAGACCAAAGAGGGGGACCUUAGGGCCUCUUGCCAUCGGAUGUGCCCAGAUGGGAUUAGCUAGUAGGUGGGGUAACGGCUCACCUAGGCGACGAUCCCUAGCUGGUCUGAGAGGAUGACCAGCCACACUGGAACUGAGACACGGUCCAGACUCCUACGGGAGGCAGCAGUGGGGAAUAUUGCACAAUGGGCUCAAGCCUGAUGCAGCCAUGCCGCGUGUAUGAAGAAGGCCUUCGGGUUGUAAAGUACUUUCAGCGGGGAGGAAGGGAGUAAAGUUAAUACCUUUGCUCAUUGACGUUACCCGCAGAAGAAGCACCGGCUAACUCCGUG
rnacentral:rRNA from 1 species